rnacentral:rRNA from 1 species
UACGAAGGGGGCUAGCGUUGCUCGGAAUCACUAGGCGUAAAGGGUGCGUAGGCGGGUUUUUAAGUCAGAGGUGAAAUCCUGGAGCUCAACUCCAGAACUGCCUUUGAUACUGGGAAUCUUGAGUAUGGAAGAGGUGAGUGGAACUGCGAGUGUAGAGGUGAAAUUCGUAGAUAUUCGCAAGAACACCAGUGGCGAAGGCGGCUCACUGGUCCGGUACUGACGCUGAGGUGCGAAAGCGUGGGGAGCAAACAGG